ACAGACCAUUGCUCAGUCGGUAGAGCAUGAGACUCUUAAUCUCAAGGUUGUGGGUUCAAGCCCUACGCUGGGCGUA